UUUCCGUCGGUGAACCUGCGGAAGGAUCAUUAUUGUAUAACCGAGGUGCGAGGGCUGUCGCUGACCCGUAAGGUCGUGCACGACCGCGUGCCCUCACACACAUCCACCUCACCCCUAUGGGCACCACCGCGUGGGUCCCCCUUGGGCGUGUUCGGCGGGGGGCUUACGUUUUCACACAAACUUUGUAUGCAGUGUAGAAUGUAUUUUUUGUGUUUGCGAACACGCAAUCAAUACAACUUUCAACAACGGAUCUCUUGGCUCUC
rnacentral:misc_RNA from 1 species